GAGAAUCUUUAGUAAUGGAGAGUUUCGGGGGUGAUACCUCAAACGCUGCCGCCGCGUCCGCCAUCAUACACAGAAUUCCCAUUGGCGGCUCCGAUUCCUAGAUCCGCUGCAUUCUCGAGCGAGUCGCCGUGGCCUCCACCCCAGCUUCCGCCUCCGCCAUCGCCCCUAGGAGUCCCAUCGGUGCUGGUUGGAAUAUGGCAACACCAAGUUUCGCACCAUCACUUGCAACUGACGGUGGUAAAAACCCGACAUUUCAAGAGAAGUUUGUGUUCACGCUCGUUGAAGGGCAUAGGGAGUUGAAUCUUGCGGUGUGGAACGGCAAUAUCCUCACUUUGGGCAUCUGAAGUAAUGGAGUCUUUACAUAUUCCCAAGGGUUUGAGACGGGUGUUGUUCAGAACCCUACAUAGUGCCAGACGGCUUAUGCACGAAAAAGAGUUCAACACGAGCCAUGUGGGAUUCAUCAGAGAUGGAGCAAAAUGGUUGGUAGAGAACACAGAAAUUAAACUUGGUAGGAUUCGUCCCUCUAUACUAUUCUGAUGCAAUCUUAGUGAGAAAGCUCUGUUUUUUUCUUUUUUUUUGUGUUUGGUGCUUUGCUUCAUUGUCAUCUUAUCUUCACCUUUUACCAAGACUCACUGAUUUAUAGUGUACUUCAUGAUGUUUCCUUAUCGUUACCCAGAAACCAUGUUAGGAUAUAUUUCUCUGUUAGGUAGCUACCUUUUCUAUUACCACCAAUUUUUACUUGCAGCUUCACUACAAGCAAAUGUUAUUUUUCUUAGGCAUGGCAACAAAUGCAUACUUUCAUCUUAUUUGAUUUUCUCCUUGACGACACAUGAGUCGCAGUAUGGUGCUGUAAUAACUGUCAACAUGAACACAUGAUAUUCGGUUGAUCUCUAAACACAUGGGUGUGUAAGAAAACGUUCAAGCAUAUGUUGCUAUCAGGCUUUUUGAGCACUACGCAAUUUUCACUAAACCUACCUCUUGAGAAAUAGUGCAACUUGAUCAUCUAUUUUCUUUCUUCUUCUGCAACUUGUAGAUUAUUACAUGUCUGAGAUUGAGAUGCAAUCUUGCAUGACGCGGUCUGUGUUAUUCAAUGCAUGAAUUGAUUACCUAUCUGUUACCUCAUAUGAUCAUUUGAUUCCAUCCCAUCUUAUCUUCCUUGAAAGCCGGGUAAGAAAUUGAUUUGACGUAUGAUAAACUUCCCCAUCAAAGUUAAGAAUGACGAUGUUUCAUUGAUGAAUUGCCAUCUUAGACCUAAGCUAGUGUUGGUGAUUUUGCCCGGAUUUCACAUCGUUGCAUUCUCAUAUGAAGUCUAGGCUCAAGAAAUUGACACUAUGGUAAAGCGGCAAGAAAUUAUUCUUGUUGAGGGCUUGAAACUCGAAGAUGUACCCAUAGGAGUGUAUACAGUCCAUGUCUGCCUUUGAGAUUGCUUGGUGCAGAAGGAUCACGUAUAAGAUGCAUCCUUAUCAAAUAACUUCUCCGAGUUUUGUUCUUUUUUAGGGGAAUUAAUUAGACGACCUUUUUAUCUACAAUCAUCAUUAUCGUCGUCACAUGAGAUCAACUUAUCCCUGAUUGGUUACCAUAGAGGUGUCAAUUGAAGAUUCUUUUGUUGUUUUCAUGACUUUGCUUGUGGUAAUGCCAGGUGCUAACAAUAUUUCUUUUUUUG